GGGGGAAAACAACAACAUGGCAGCGCAGCAACGCGGUGCCUUCAGGGACACUCGAGGGUCGGAAAUCAGAACGCUUUUGAUCAGGCGUGUUCAAGUGACACUUGAAGGUCGGAAAGUAGGGGGAAAUUCACUUCACCUGAUCUUGGGCGGAACAUAAUCUUCAACGUGUUGCCAUGCAACUGAAAUCUGCCGAAGGCCUUCAGAUUUUCUGCCGUCGAAACAACACCAAUUGAAAUGGGUGAGGAUGAGGCAGCAUCUCCCAUAAUCCAUCCCCCCCCCCUCCACUUGCCUGCUUUCUUGCUUGGACACACGCAGGUCCAAACAAAAAUGACAUCACUGCACACUCAAACGUGACUCAGAGGCCAGCCAGUGGACCGCGAGCUCGCCCCCACGCACACGCAUACACCCAUCUGUCCAAUCCCCCCCCCCCCAUCCCCAAGGCCGCCCAGGGACUCACCCAGCUGGGGUGAUGAUGAUGAGAAUGAUGAAGGCCUGCAGACAACAAGCAAAGCAUGUCAUAGUCACAGUGAAUUAACGCCACGCUCUUGGGUGGCGUGCGGGGAUCGAACGGCGGCUCGUGCCACGCAAGCUGCUGUGUCAUCAUCACGUCAAGUGCACCCAUAUGAAAACUGCAGCGACUGGACACACACACACAGAAUGGCGUAAUCUCGUGUUUCCCUUGUGUGCGAGUAAUCCUUAAUCCCGGGAGUCACGGCGGGAACCCGACCAGUGAGCUGCCGAGUGAGGACUGUCAACAUAAUGGAAAGUAUGGACAUUGGACGAGCGGUGGUGUGGUGGUGGUGGUGGAGGAAGGAAGGGGGGCUUCGCUGUCAUCAUCCUCACAGUCAGCCAAUGGAGGGAGCAGGAAGAGAGAGACCCUUAUAAAGCUGAGCGGACCAUCGGCAUCAUCCUCCUCCUCCUGGUCCUUUUACAAAGAUGCCACGAUGGACGUGAGCUGAUGAGUGGGCUUUCUUUCUU